rnacentral:misc_RNA from 1 species
UUGUAAUAUAAUAUUAAACUAAAACACCUGAUAUUAUAAUCUUGAGCACAACGUGAGAGAAGAAUUUAAAUAUGCCUCCUAAAAAGAACGCAAAUGCUUCGAACUCUAAAUCUAAAAAAGCAGAAGGUGGUAGUGAAAAGGGGGAAAAGAAAGGAGGAAAGAAUGCAGUAAAAGUUAGGCACAUUCUUUGUGAAAAGCAAUCAAAGAUUACAGAAGCUUUAGAGAAAUUGAAAGCUGGACAAAAGUUUAAUGAAGUUGCAGCUGCCUAUAGUGAAGACAAAGCAAGAUCUGGGGGAGAUCUUGGUUGGAUGACAAGGGGAUCUAUGGUUGGUCCAUUUCAAGAAGCUGCGUUUGCUUUACCUGCAUCGACUAUUGGUGCUCCAGUUUAUACAGACCCACCAGUUAAAACGAAGUUUGGUUAUCAUAUUAUAAUGGUGGAAGGUUUCAAAUAAACAGUACAUAGGGGCACCUCCUUGUUGGAUAGCUUCACGGUUAUCUGGUUGCGGUUUUCCAAUACUAGAAAUAUUACCAAUCAUUCUGAGAACGAUCAGUGGUUGGAGCAAGCUUUUGCAAUUCCGCAGUCCAGAACCAACCAUUAAUAUGAAGAGGCUGAAGAUCAGGUCUGUCACAUCCUUUGAAAUCACAAAGGCGGCCAGAUGUCCAAAUAUAUUUGACAUUAUCUAGAAAUAGUUAUCAAUUGUACAUUUUUCUUUUUAUCUUUCUAAGUUAUUUCAAUUAUAAAAUACUGCCAUACUUUGGA